GGCCGCAAGGUUAAAACUCAAAUGAAUUGACGGGGGCCCGCACAAGCGGUGGAGCAUGUGGUUUAAUUCGAUGCAACGCGAAGAACCUUACCAAGUCUUGACAUCCUGCGAAUUUUCUAGAGAUAGAUUAGUGCCUUCGGGAGCGCAGUGACAGGUGCUGCAUGGCUGUCGUCAGCUCGUGUUGUGAAAUGUUGGGUUAAGUCCCGUAACGAGCGCAACCCUUGUCCUUAGUUGCUAGCAGGUUAAGCUGAGAACUCUAAGGAGACUGCCGGUGACAAACCGGAGGAAGGUGGGGACGACGUCAAGUCAUCAUGGCCCUUACGACUUGGGCUACACACGUGCUACAAUGGCCAGUACAAAGGGUUGCCAAGCCGCGAGGUGGAGCUAAUCUCAUAAAACUGGUCGUAGUCCGGAUUGGAGUCUGCAACUCGACUCCAUGAAGUCGGAAUCGCUAGUAAUCGUGAAUCAGAAUGUCACGGUGAAUACGUUCCCGGGCCUUGUACACACCGCCCGUCACACCAUGGGAGUGGGUUGCUCCAGAGGUGGCUAGUCUAACCUUCGGGGGGACGGUCACCACGGAGUGAUUCAUGACUGGGGUG
rnacentral:rRNA from 1 species